rnacentral:lncRNA from 1 species
GAAUCACAGCCAAAAACAAUGGGCCUAGAUCAAAAUAAAUACAAAAUCAUUUUCUGGGAUUGGGUGGGGAAAGAUAAAUCUUCAUUUCUAAGCUGACUUUUUUCCCCUGAAAAUAUUAGUUGUUAUCUAACAGCAGUGAGCCUAUUACUGACUGAAAGGAAAUGUUGACCUUUGGUACUCAGCCCUGUAUAUGACCAUAAACACGACUUCACCCAUUACCAUCAUCACUCACUCAUUCACUUCCUGACAUUUGCCCAACCAGCCUUCUCACUUCAGCUGGUAAUAUCCUCCCCCGAAUUGGAGAAAUUGUUAUAGAACAGCUUUCCCACACCAGAGAUAGGAAAGAGAGGUGACUUUGGUACUGAGAGAAAAGAAGGAAAGAGAAGGAAUAAGAUGAAGAAAUAUUGAAGGGAGACAAAGAGAAGGGGAAGGGAGGGAAGAGGAGGCAAAAAUGGAGCCGAAAGGAGGAAGCUUUUGGUGCUACAGGGCCCACCUCAUUCAUGCUAGCCUGUGCCCUGGUGGACCUAUGUCUUACACGCACCCUGACAGAAGCUGGAUGGCAGCGCCCAGCCACACUGCGUGGCAAGCAUUGU